UCGUCAUUUAUUGACGGAUUUUUCGGGAUUUCUCUUUCAAUGCUUUAGAAUUGGAAGAAGUUGAGAUUCAAAAAAAUAAAUUGGAUUAAAUUAUGAAAUGUUUAUUCUUCGUUGAUAGCUCUCUUCUUUUAAGCUUAUGCCGUAGAAGCGGCUAUUGGCGUUUUAUCUGCAUCUUCCCGACCAUGAGGGGGUUCCGUUUGGGAUGAACUCGCAAAGACUCGACCCGAGGACUUCCCUCGUAGAGUGGCGUCUUUUAUAAGACUCGAGUUUCUC
rnacentral:lncRNA from 1 species